CUCCAAUUUUACCAAGUCAACUCGCUAAUAUGUUGGAAGCCCUAGUUUUACUGCAUCCCUCCAACAACUACCCACCUGUUGCAUCGAAUUUCUGCAAGUUGAAGAUUUCAGUACAUGAUAUAAAUUUGAGUCAUAACAUUAAUUUUCUGUUGCCGUUGAGCCCUUUUGUAGCGAAAGGAAAUGGUUUUAUAGGAUCGAUAGUUAGCGUGCAAGUGAAUAUGGGCCUGGAGUGGAAAUGAAACGUUCUUUGUCCGUGAGCGUCAAUUUGAUUGGAGGUGAGUCGUUUAAGAAAAAAAAUUGUAAAAAUAUUAUUUGGUUGUUUCAAGAAAUUUGAUGAAGAAAACACAAUUUUGAUGGUAAUUAGUUUUCUAUAGCAUCUGGGGAUUGUAAAAUGGGGGAUUGUAUCUGGAAAUAAAUAUUUGAACUUGAGUUACUAAAGUAAGGAAACGGUAACCAAUGGAGGAGAGUGGGGAACACUGGUGUUGGAUAAUUCAGGUUUCAUUGAGAAGGAAAUGUGAUCAAGGAAUAAUGAUGAGAAACUGAUGAUGAGUUGAUAGAAGAAGCAUCCCGCGGCUUAUUUGAGGAAGAAUGGAUUGCCGGAGGAUUUCGAGAAAGAAACUGAGACUCGUGUAGUAAAUGUAUCAUCUCUGGGAUUUCCACUCAGAUGAGUUGGUCGAGUUGAAAAUAAAGCCCGGUUCACGAGCUAAUUGGGUGGACAAGGGCUCAAUGAUUAUUUUGUUGUUUGAAACCACAUACUUGCAAAGUGUCGAGACAGUGUGCAUGAUGGAUUUCCAAAGGGUAGAGAAAGAAAACCGUGGGUAACGAAUGUGGACAAUUGAUGACGAGGGAUAAUAAAUGUUAUGGAAGUAUCAGCAAUGAUUGUUGGUGCAGGAAAUGCCAAGUUGAACGCAGUGAGAUGGCUGACGUUUUCACUUUUCUGGUCCCUAAGUAUGAUAUUUGAAGGUAACUGAUAUGUGGGAGGAGUUUAUACUCGGAAAGAUGUGUCGAUAAGGUAACUACACAGCUACUGAUCUUGGUGGCAGUGUUAUAACUGGUAUUAAUGCUCAUCCUUCAGGAGGCUGACAAACAGAAAUUAUGGUGAAGCUUUGCAUUUUUUCGAGACAACUUAUAAUUCCUCUUGGCAUGGUGAACAAUUAAUGGCUUCUGUACAAGCUGUAUUGAACACAUGUUAACGGACUUGAUUCUAUGGUUGAGUUCUCUAAAGUCAUCAUUUCUAAGAAAUAAUGGGUCAAUUUGCUAGUGAUACUACUUUACGUUCUGUUUUAGAGAUAGUUCCGCAAUUAUAUGUUGCGGCUAGUUGUAGUGAGGAAAGAACUUUUUUGAUUUGUAUUUUGCUAACUCGGAGCACACCAAGUACUUUUGUGUCUAAGGAACUAAGUCCCUCUUCUGUCUGUAAUCAAUUUAUUAUCAGUGUAUGAGUAGUAGUGAGGGCCAACCCCUCACCUAGGCAUGGAUGAUUUUAUCAAGAAACUUGGGAUAUGCCAAAUCUAGAAGCGUUUCAACCCUGUCUGCUGUUGAUGGGGUCAUGGGGAUCAGUAAGAUCCUUAUAGAUUGGGAAUGAAAUUGUUGUUCUCUCACAGGUGGGACCUGGAGAUUAAUUAGAGUAAUUCUUAAAGCACUUGAUUUGUCUGUACGACUACCAUUUAGACCAUAAGCUAUUGAAGUGAAGGAAUCCAGGUUGUUUCAGGAAACCAAGAUUUUCAAGCAGAUAUUAUCCUGUGCUGCACUCCCAUUUUAUUCCUUAAACUAUGAGAAAUUAGAUUUGAAAGAUUUAUCUAAAAGAAUGCAGCAUUAGAAAGACUGCUGUUUUGGUUGCUAAGUGAAAGUCCCCGUGAAGUUCCCUCAUAAUUUUCAAGGGGAAAGGCUUGUAUACAUUUGGACUUUUCGACUGCACCUUGUUUCGAGCAUUCUAGAAGGUGUACAUAGUUGGAUGGGCAUCAAGUGUCUAAUUCUUUACAAGCCAUGUGUACUAGAUGGGGAAACGAUCCUCUUUCUUGUGGUUCAUAUUCACAUAUCAGAGUGCUAUUAUUUGGUAACAGUUUCAGAACCCAAAUUGGUAGAAGCAGCACUUGCUCAUCUCUCUGCUCCAGGUCAGGGAAUUUUUCGUAGCUAGACUCCUUGAGAAAUGACACGAAGAUUUUCGAGGGUUCGGUCCUUUGUUUGCAAAUGGUUGGGGAAUCCAUAAAGGUGGCCAUUUAUUAUUAUUAUCAUCAUCGUCGUCGUCGUCAUCUUAUUCAAUAACUAUUUUUAGCGUCAUUAUAUAUAUAUUUUUAUUGUUACUGGGGAAGCUAGCUUAUUGCUGAAAUCAUGGUAGCUAGAGGGAUAUAAGGUGCAACUACUUUUCUAUGUCCAUUAAACUUUGCAUCUACGCGUGGUUAAUCUGUUGAACAUAAUUGUACUUUUUCAUGAUUGCUGAUUCUUAAAGUUGCCAUCAUAGUUUUCUAAUUCCUGUA